rnacentral:lncRNA from 1 species
UAAGAACAAUUAAGCUAGAAAAGUAAAGUAAAAACAGUUGAGCUAAAGGACAACACAGAUGAACAAUAGGCGUAAAGGUAGAGAGGAUAUUCUUUUCUCAAUGAUUAGAAGAUGUAACAAAUGAUAGGGGUCCCCUUUAUAUAAUAGGGGAAUCCUAAAUAUGGAAUAUUUCUAUUUACAGCAGAGAAUAUUUGUGAUACAACUGUCUAACCGCCUAGUACGGAAUCAUACAAUCAUCUUCGGGGAUUUGCGUCACGAUCUUGGGGACGUGGGAUGAAACUAGCUCAUUAAGUUACAAAUCCUCAACGGUAUAAUUUCUGGAUCAAGUAUACUCAGCCUCGGUGUACGUUGUGCUUCAAAAUCUUCGGGCCUUGUACUCUGUCCUCGAGCUUGGAUAUGGUCCCUCGAGCUAGAACUCGACCUUGCCUGAACUCGGGCUCAAAAUGACCCCUCGAGCCCAUAGAUCGGAGGCAUAUGAUUUCGACCGCAUACACUAUUUCAUUUUAUGUGGUAUACUUUAUUUUUGAAUUUGCCUAAGAAAAAGACAUAUUUUGUUAGAAGGAAAAGAGGGGAAAAUUAGAGACAUGAAAGGCAUCUUUGCAGUCUCAUAUUAUUGCAGGUUUGCUCGUUCCACAACUAAGCAAUUGCUUAAUAGCACAAACAACUUUCUUGCCACAGCCACAAGUCUUAUUGUCUUCAUUAACAACUCCUUUCUCGUCCAUUUUGAUUUUCUUCAUCUUCUCCUUGUGAUGUUUCUGCAUUAAUCGAUUUAUCGAUUAACCGAUAAAUCGAAUGGCCAAAAUCGAAAUCGAAUCGAUAAACCGAUAAGGAAAAUCUUUUGAAAUCAAAAUCGAAUCGAUAAACCGAUAAACCGAUAUCAAUAAGCCG